GAUUUUUGGUCAAGCUACAAAGGGCGUACGGUGAAUGCCUUGGCACAAGAAGGCGAUGAAGGACGUGAUAAGCUGCGAUAAGCUUCGGGGAGGUGCAAAUAACCUUUGAUCCGGGGAUUUCCGAAUGGGGCAACCCAAUGCAGGUCAUGCUGCAUUACCCUCGAGUGAACACAUAGCUCGAGUGGGGCAAACGGGGGGAACUGAACCAUCUAAGUACCCCUAGGAAUAGAAAGCAACCGCGAUUCCCCUAGUAGUGGCGAACGAACGGGGAACAGCCUAAACUGCCUGUAUGUUAAAGCGAGCACGCGUUGUACGGGCGGGGUUGUGGGGCGUCAUUUGGCAAGGGUGCUAACUUGCCGGGAAGUUACCAAUCAACACCAUAGUCGAAGUGUUCUGGAAAGUUCAACCAUAGAAGGUGAUAGUCCUGUAGACGAAAUGGUAGUUGACUUCCUUAUGAUGUUCCCGAGUACCACGGGACACGUGAAACCCUGUGGGAAGCUGGGGAGACCACUCUCCAAGGCUAAAUACUCUCUUGUGACCGAUAGCGCACUAGUACCGGUGAGGGAAAGGUGAAAAGUACUCCGAGAAGGAGAGUGAAAUAGUACCUGAAACCGUACGCUUACAAGCAGUCGGAGGGGGUUUGUCCCCUGACGGCGUGCCUUUUGCAUAAUGAGCCGGCGAGUUACUUGUAUGCAGCGAGGUUAAUUCACUAAGUGAAGGAGCCGUAGCGAAAGCGAGUCUGAAUAGGGCGUUCAGUUGCAUGCAGUAGACCCGAAGCCAGGUGAUCUACCCAUGGCCAGGAUGAAACGUGAGUAAAAUCACGUGGAGGUCCGAACCGUUGUACGUUGAAAAGUGCUCGGAUGAGCUGUGGGUAGGGGUGAAAGGCCAAUCAAACCUGGAGAUAGCUGGUUCUCCCCGAAAUAGCUUUAGGGCUAGCCUCUUGUUAAAGAGUCGUGGAGGUAGAGCACUGGAUCGGUACGGGGGCUUACCAGCUUACUUAGCCGAACCAAACUCCGAAUGCCAUUGACUUGUUCCAAGGGAGUCAGCGUGCGAGGGAUAAACUCCGUACGCGAGAGGGAAACAACCCAGAUCGCCAGCUAAGGUCCCUAAGUGUAUGCUAAGUGAUUUAAAGGAUGUGAGAUUGCGUAGACAGCUAGGAUGUUGGCUUAGAAACAGCCACCAUUUAAAGAGUACGUAAUAGUUCACUAGUCAAGUGAUUUUGCGCCGACAAUGUAUCGGGGCUAAGCAUACCACCGAAGCUGCGGACUCAGUAAUUCGUUCGCGAAUUACUGAUUGGUAGGGGAGCGUUCCAUAGUAGGUCGAAGGUGAACCGUAAGGUUUGCUGGACGAGAUGGAAGUGAUUAUGUCGGCAUGAGUAGCGAUAAAGCGGGUGAGAAUCCCGCUCACCGAAAAUCUAAGGUUUCCUGGGCUAGGCUCGUCCUCCUGGGGUUAGUCGGGACCUAAGCCGAGGCCGAAAGGCGUAGGCGAUGGAAAACAGGCUAAAUAUUCCUGUACCACUUAUAGCGCGUUCGAGCUAUGGGGUGACGCAGAAGUGAAAGGUCAGCCAGCGACUGGAAAUGCUGGUCUAAGCCCGUAGGGGGGCCGUCCAGGUAAAUCCGGAUGGCCAUAUACCCCGAGAGGCGAUGGGGAGCCGUCUAACGGCAUAAACUGACCCUAAUCAUGCUGCCUAGAAAAACCUCUAUGUGAGUUCUAUAGGUGCCCGUACCGUAAACCAACACAGGUAGAUGAGGAGAGUAUCCAAAGGUGCGCGAGUGAACCCUCGUUAAGGAAUUCGGCAAAAUUAUCCCGUAACUUCGGAAAAUGGGAUGCCCCCAGUAGGUGAAGCCCUUCGCGGGCGGAGCCCAAAGGGGCCGCAGAGAAACGGGCUGGGCGACUGUUUACCAAAAACACAGGUCUCUGCUAAGCCGUAAGGCAAUGUAUAGGGACUGACACGUGCCCGGUGCUGGUAAGUUAAGAGGAGGUGUUAGAUCCUUCGGGAUCGAAGCUCUGAAUCGAAGCUCCAGUAAACGGCGGCCGUAACUAUAACGGUCCUAAGGUAGCGAAAUUCCUCGUCGGCUAAAAACCGACCUGCACGAAUCGUGUAACGACUUGGCCGCUGUCUCAACGAGGGACUCGGUGAAAUUGUAGUUCCGGUGAAGAUGCCGGAUACCCGCGGCAGGACAGAAAGACCCCGUGAACCUUUACUAUAGCUUGGUAUUGGAUUUUGACACUGUAUGUGUAGGAUAGGUGGGAGGCUAUGAAGCGGGAGCGCUAGUUUUCGUGGAGCCGACCUUGAAAUACCACCCUUGCCUUGUUAAAAUUCUAACCUUGGUCCUUUGAUCAGGAUCGGAGACAGUGCCAGGUGGGUAGUUUAACUGGGGCGGUUGCCUCCUAAAGAGUAACGGAGGCGCCCAAUGGUUCCCUCAGCGCGGUCGGUAAUCGCGCGUAGAGUGUAAAGGCAUACAGGGAGCUUGACUGCGAGACCUACAAGUCGAGCAGGUGCGAAAGCAGGGCUUAGUGAUCCGACGGUUGCGCGUGGAAGCGCCGAAGCUCAACGGAUAAAAGGUACUCCGGGGAUAACAGGCUUAUUGCCCCCAAGCGCUCAUAGCGACGGGGCAGUUUGGCACCUCGAUGUCGGCUCAGCGUAUCCUGGGGCUGGAGAAGGUCCCAAGGGUUUGGCUGUUCGCCAAUUAAAACGCUACGCGAGCUGGGUUCAGAACGUCGUGAGACAGUUCGGUCCCUAUCCGCCGUGGGUGUAGGAUAUUUGAGAAGAUCUGACCCUAGUACGAGAGGACCGGGUUGGACGAACCUCUGGUCAACCAGUUGUUCCGCCAGGAGCAUCGCUGGGUAGCUACGUUCGGAAGGGAUAAACGCUGAAGGCAUCUAAGCGUCAAGCCCACUUCAAAACUAGAUAUCCCGUAGGGUUAACCUACCUAAAGGCCCCUCGUAGACUACGAGGUUGAUAGGUUGCAGGUGGAAGCGCAGCAAUGUGUGAAGCCGAGCAAUACUAAUUGGCCGUGAGGCUUGACCAUUUU
rnacentral:rRNA from 1 species